GGCCUCGCUGCAUGUAAGGAUGGGCACUGUUGCUGGUCAGUGUCCAGAACUGGUCAGUGUGGCUGCUCCCAUGACAGCAGAUUAAGUUACAGUGGUGACAGAGACCUGCAACAUUG
rnacentral:snoRNA from 14 species